AAAGUGGAAUAGGACGAGGAAGACUGUUGAGUAGCUGAGUAGCGUCCUAAGUGGUGGUGGUGGACAUGGUGGUAAAGGGGGAAGCAGUUUUGUUAAUGGAAGCAGUGCUGACGGUGGAACUACAUAUGGUAAUGCCGAUUUGCCUUGUGAACUUGGCAGUGGCAGUGGCAAUGACAUCACAGGGUCUUCCACAGCUGCUGGUGGUAUAACAGUGUUGGGUUUGUGGGAGGGUGGCAGUUUAACUGAUGCUGUAACUAAUGCCUCUGUUGGACCUGGAGGUGGUUCUGGAGAUACAGUUCUUCUAUUUGUGCGCACAUUGUCCCUAGCGGAGAGCUCCUUCCUUUCAAGUGCUGGAGGCUUUGGAAGAGCUGGCAGUAGUGGUGGAGGAGGGGAAGGAUUCACUUCCAUUGGUCUCACAUUCCUAUUGGAGAUGAAUAUGUCCCUGUUGCAGCUAUUGAAGGAUCAAUACUUGCAUGGUCUGAUGUGAUCUUUUCUCUAAUCUCACUUCUAAUUUUCGGUCUUUCUGGGUACUCUGAAUUUGCAGUAUGUCUUUAUGUCUUUCUGGGCACUUAAUUUGGAUGCAUAUAAACUGGACAUGCAAAUAAGUUUUCAUGUCAAAUACCAUUUGCCGGUGGACACUGGUUGGGAUGAAUAACUGCAACCUCCUUUUGGUAUCUUAUUAUGACACGGGUUAAGCAAGCAAGCAGCUAGCUCAGAUGUUACACAAUCCUUGCAUUUUAUGACCUGGAGGAAUUAGUUUCUUCUCCUUUUGCCAUUUACAACUUGAAUUAUUAUGUAUGUAUCACUUCAUAUGUUGCCAUCAUUAAAAUUUAGCCUUCAAUAGUUAAUUUCUAGUUGGUGUUGUAGCCGAACUAGUAGUAUUUAUUUCUGGUAUUUUGACUUUUAACUGUUACUACAGAUUUUUGUCCGGUGUGACCUGGGUGUUCUGGCUCUGGUGGUGCUUCUGGGCUGGCCGUGGCCUCACGUGCCCAGUUUUUCCAUCGCCCCGAUGCCGGUCAGUUCUCCGCAGGGAUCAGUCUCCUCAACACUUUCCUAAGGAACAGGCAGUAGGAGAGAACUUGACCUGGAGCUGCCCGGUCCAGUGUGACAUGGCCUUUCUAGCGCCGGUGAUGCUGCUGUUGCUGUGUUGGCACACCUUGUGCAUGGUUUUAGGCCUGACCAUCCCUUGGCUUCGACUACCUUGCUUCUCGCCGUCGUGCUAUGA